rnacentral:rRNA from 1 species
UACGGAAGGCAGCAGUAGGGAAUCUUCCGCAAUGGACGAAAGUCUGACGGAGCAACGCCGCGUGAACGAUGAAGGCUUUCGGGUCGUAAAGUUCUGUUGUUAGGGAGAACAAGUACCGGAGUAACUGCCGGUACCUUGACGGUACCUAACCAGAAAGCCACGGCUAACUACGUGCCAGCAGCCGCGGUAAUACGUAGGUGGCAAGCGUUGUCCGGAAUUAUUGGGCGUAAAGCGCGCGCAGGCGGUCCUUUAAGUCUGAUGUGAAAGCCCACGGCUCAACCGUGGAGGGUCAUUGGAAACUGGGGGACUUGAGUGCAGAAGAGGAGAGUGGAAUUCCACGUGUAGCGGUGAAAUGCGUAGAGAUGUGGAGGAACACCAGUGGCGAAGGCGACUCUCUGGUCUGUAACUGACGCUGAGGCGCGAAAGCGUGGGGAGCGAACAGGGAUUAGAUAC